GACGAACGCUGGCGGCGUGCUUAACACAUGCAAGUCGAACGGUGAACCAGAGCUUGCUCUGGGGAUCAGUGGCGAACGGGUGAGUAACACGUGGGCAACCUGCCCCAGACUCUGGGAUAACCCCGGGAAACCGGAGCUAAUACCGGAUAUGACCACUUCGGACAUCCGAUGGUGGUGGAAAGUUUUUCGGUCUGGGAUGGGCCCGCGGCCUAUCAGCUAGUUGGUGGGGUAAUGGCCUACCAAGGCGACGACGGGUAGCCGGCCUGAGAGGGCGACCGGCCACACUGGAACUGAGACACGGUCCAGACUCCUACGGGAGGCAGCAGUGGGGAAUAUUGCACAAUGGGCGAAAGCCUGAUGCAGCGACGCCGCGUGAGGGACGACGGCCUCGGUUGUAACGUCUUUCUAGCAGGACGAAGCGAAAGUAGACUGUACCUGCAAAGAAGACACCGGCUAACUACGUGCCAGCAGCCGCGGUAAACGUACUACUG
rnacentral:rRNA from 1 species